UUCAUCCAGAAUUUUCAGCCUGCCUUAAC
rnacentral:piRNA from 1 species